CAUGGCUGUCGUCAGCUCGUGUCGUGAGAUGUUGGGUUAAGUCCCGUAACGAGCGCAACCCUUGUCCUUAGUUACCAGCACGUUAUGGUGGGCACUCUAAGGAGACUGCCGGUGACAAACCGGAGGAAGGUGGGGAUGACGUCAAGUCCUCAUGGCCCUUAUGGGUAGGGCUUCACACGUCAUACAAUGGUACAUACAGAGCGCCGCCAACCCGCGAGGGGGAGCUAAUCGCAGAAAGUGUAUCGUAGUCCGGAUUGUAGUCUGCAACUCGACUGCAUGAAGUUGGAAUCGCUAGUAAUCGCGGAUCAAGCAUGUCGCGGGUGAAUACGUUCCCGGGUCCUUGUACACAC
rnacentral:rRNA from 1 species